rnacentral:lncRNA from 1 species
UCCAAAUACAUCAUUUAAAUUAAUGUAAUUCAACUACACCACUGUUUGGAAAAGAAAAACAUAAGUAUCAAAUUAAGCUUUCGACAAGUUCUAAACAGUAAAGUACUAAAUUAAGUUUCAACAAACAUUAACGGACAAAAAGAAGCACAAGAGUGUCAAUAAAUAUCCAUAUGUGGCUUCAUUUUUUUCCCACCUACAAGUACAUAAAAUCAAUUAGUACACAACAAAUAAUAAAUCUUGGAUAUUUGGAAGAAAAAAUCAUCAUAAAUUACUCAUAUAUUACCUUGCGAUUUUGGGCUACAAUUAACUUGACAACAUAUGUAGCCCAUUGAUUAUGAAGUUGCAAGAGCUCUUUCAUGACGUACAAGCAACAAUAUUGUAACAUAUCCCUACUAAUAACAACCUUGCAAUUAAUCCAUAUAAUUGUUUUGUACAUCUCAUGGUUAUUCACAUAAUCUCUCCAACAAUACGCAGUGUACCAAUCAUUAAAUGUUCAUCAGUUAAUUAAUAUAGAGAGAGACAAAAAAUUUUAAAAAGAAUCUAGCUACCACUUUUUUGAUCGUUGUCAUUAACCUCUCUUAAAUCGUAAGUGAGUGAUGAGCAGUAAGACGGGCCUUAGUGGCUUUUUAAUAAGUCGAGCUAAUUCAUAAGUGAAGUAACUAAUAAAAAUUAAGACUUAAAAUAAAAAAAUGUCUUCAUAUUCUUUAAUGGCCUUAUAAGUUUUUUUGUUUUUCAUGUUUGGUCAAUAAAGAGAGUGGGAUUCCGGUGGUUGUGUGAGCCGCUAGAUUUGCCAUGCUAGCGAUCAUGGAGUUCUAAUUUUUGGCUAUUAGGUUAAAGCAAACAAAUAUUUAGGCUUAAGUACAGUGACAGUGUGACACAACCAUUAACGAAGUUUUGCAUGCAAAACGCAACUUUUAAAAUGAAGAAAUGAGAAUAAUGUCAAAUAAAAAAAGAAUAAUUGAAUAAUUCCUUUUAAGUAUUUAACCAUUCAACUUUUUAUAUGAACACAAGUUUAGCACUCACGCACUAAUAAAUUUUAGUUGUGAAAACUAUUUAAUUGGAGUAGAGAUACAAACAUGCAAAAUUUGUAAGCUCGUGUUUAUUUGACAUAUAUUUCUCAAAUAAAGAAUGAUGCAGAAGCAAAUCCUUUAAUAAUUGUAAAGGCAUAUCAUUUAAACAAACAGGAAAACUGCAUAACAUGAUGAACCCUUUUCAAAGUGUAAGCUGGUCAGCACAAACCACUUUCAAAGUGUAAGAUAGUUAGCACAAACCACUGAGUGCCCAAAUUGGCAGAAGAAGCAGGUCUACAAGUUAACAAAACCCGCAACCUCAGUCAAAAUUAUAAUACCAAUGCACGCAGUUAGAGGUAUGAUCAUAGCUAUCAAAAAUAGAGAUAUGCUCUUCCGGCUACAUAGGGGAAAAGAAAAGCAUUAAGUGUAUUAUACUUCUUCCAGCCACUUAAACAUGAGGUUUGAUUUCUGAAGGUAAUCAAUGAUUACUAUUAAACUAAUCGCAUAGUUAAUUAUUUCUUUGCUGCCUAAAAGGCUGUUUCCUUAAUACUCCUAGCAGUAUCCUAGUUGAAGAUUUCAUUUCUUCACAAAUAAUUUUAUAUGCUGUAGAGUUAGCUUAACCAACUUCUCAUCCAGUGAGGAAAAAAGAAGAAGAAAAAGGCAAUCUAAUUUUACUGUUAUCCAUAGCACUCCACUUAACUUUAUGAGAAUCUCAUUCUAGUUAAUUGAAUCAUAAAGAAGAGUAAUUAUAUUACAGCGAAUGGUAAGGGCACUGCCCUGCUUAGUUUCCAGUGUAAUGUACAGAUUCCAGAAACAUCUCUUUUUCUGAGCUAAUUUCUCAGCAACCAAACAACAUCUAUGUUUUCUUUCAUAUGCAAAAAGAUAAAAUGGAUCAAUUUAAAUGAAGAAAGAACAAAAAGUCUUAACAUACUACCCAGAUAAGCAAUUUAUUCGGGGCCAAAGGAUUCAAUGUAUGGUAUCUAACAAAGGUUGUUUGCCUUGUAUUGUCAACUCUCUUGCAAUUUCUAUUCCAAAAAAAAAAAAUCAGCUGCUCAUUUGUGAUAAAAACAAAAUUCAAAAUAAAAUCAAUAGAUCUAAAAUCAACUGUGGCUUCAAGGAACCUAAAGCCACAAUGUUAAUUGACCUUAAAAGUUUGUUAUAAAAUCAUAUGUAGAAGCAAUUAGUUUUAGUAAGAAGUACAUGACAUUUAGUAGAGCAAUUUUAAAGAAUUCUCUAUACAAAAAAAAGGCAUGGAUACCCAUUGAAUUCUCUUGCUGGUCACAUGACACUUAGGUCCAUUAUCUCUUUUCUUCAUGCUCUAUUUAUCCAUUUAAGCUUACCUUGAACAGAGAUUGUGGCGGUAUAGCAGCGACGACAGAGAUUGAGGCAGUGCGACAGUGACGGCAGCGGCUGACAGAGGCUAAGAAGUUAUUACCGGUGACGAACGGCUGAGUAUUGAUGAUAACUGGAAGUAGUUACGACCUAUUGGUGAUGACCGCAGUGGAUUAGUUACCGGUGACGGUCAAAAUUCAUAAGUCACGACAGUGGGUUUCCAACUUUGGUGCACAAGAUAUGCCAAGAGAUGACGACAGCAAAAGAGACAAAAAUAUAGAGAACAGACUUUGGUGCAUCGGAGAUGACGGCAAUGGCUAGUCGAAAGUAGUGACGGCAGUGGCUAGUCGAGAGUAGUGACGACAGUGGCGGAAGAGAUUUUGGGUAUGUCGGUGGAGUGGUGGUGAUUUGUUUUGUUUUCGAUUGACAAUAUGAUGAAAUGGGGAAAAGAGAUUAGGGAUUUUUCUUUUGCUAUUAUAUUUUUGUUUUUAAUUCUUUUAAAAAAUACUCGUAUCUUGAAUCUGUAGGCCUUGUGGUCCUUGGUUCAAAUGUAAAAAUUUUAAAUUUUAAAAGUCUUUGGUUCGAGUCGGAAGAUUUACAAAUCAUAGUAAAUUUUUUUUUAAUCUCUGAUACUUUAGUGCCAGUGGUUUUUGAUACUUAAUUUACCGACACACUAAUAUCAGUAAUUUGUGAUACCUAUUUGUUAAAAGUGGAAAAUGGUGCAUAUGCAUACAAUUACUGAUACUUUUUACAAAAUGUCAGAAAUUAAGUGUAUUUUUGUAGUAGUGAUUAUUAUUAUUUGGUAAAAUAUCAGCAAUGACUUCUAACAAAGCAGAAAACCCUUUAUCAGACCACCCAUAAUUUCCUUUCACCUUAUAAAGUCUCAUUAAUCCAGAUAACUUUGAAUGUCUUGCAUCUGGAUACAAAGGCUUUUCAGCAUCUUCAAGCAUAUCCUUAAAAGAACUAGGAUCUUUAUCACAAUUAUCAUAAGCAUCUUCGACCAUGUCAAUUAUGCCAUUGUAAUCAUGACAUCUGAAUCUCUGAUUAUGUUGAUGGUCUUGACAUUUUGUAGAUGUAGAAAUAGGGUCAGUCUCACCAUACCAAGUCCAAACUCUAUAUUUUGUACAAAAACCUUUUUCAAAUAAAUGAUCAUUCACCUGUUGAGGAGUAUGAAACUCCAUAUUACAACAAAAGCUGCAAGGACAUCUAAUUGACAUUCGGUUUUCAGCAUUCAAAAUGGCAAAUUUUAAGAAAUCGGUAACUCCAAUACUAUACUCUAGGGACAACCUAUUACAAGUUAUCCAAGUUUUGUCCAUUUCAAAUAUUUUUACAUGUUCAUAUAUUAUAUAGUGUCAGUUUAAGUUUAAUAAAAUUGCAUGAUUAAUUUCAAAUAUUUAAAGUUAUUAUGAUUAUAACUUCAAUAAUAAAUUUGUAAUUAGGGAAAUAAAGUAUAAUAAUUUUUCUAAUACAAUUAUAUUAAUUUGAAAACAUUAAUAAUAACAUUCCACUUACAGGUAAUCCCGAUCAAGUUUAAAUCACUGGAACAUCCUCUAAUUGAUGCUCCACCUACAAAUUUAAGGAGAUGAAUUAGUAAGAUUGGCCUUAUGGCCUUUUAAUAAGCUGAGCUAAAUUUCUAAAUAAUAAAUUUUAUUAAAUAAUGAUGAAUUAGUCAUCUCUUAAAAAAGAUAAUAUUGCAAUACAUAUCUUGGAAGCUACAACAAAUUAACACCCAGUAGAUACAAUUUCUAAAUCUGAAAUAGCUUCUAAUAAACAAUUAAUAUUUCACAAUUGGUAUGAUAAUUAUAAUGUCAAUGCCUACAUAGGAAGAGGGCUGAUAUUAUCUACAACAAGAUGCUAGUUAUCAUUUUAUUGAUGGGGUUGUAGGGCCACAACACAAAUCUUUCAAUGCAAAGUUGAUACACAUUUUUUGCACACUAUAACGAGUGUGACAACGCACAUCCAAUCAAAAUCUUAUAUAAGAAUUAAAAAAUUAUUUUCUAAUUUGCAGGAAAAUUAUAUGAUCACAUUCUUGGGACAACUACAUAAAACUAAUAAGCAUGAAUGUUCUUAAGUUUUAAAAAAAAUACAAAAAAAUUGGAAAUACUAAAUCAAUUGUACAUAUCAUAUUCAUGUGUAGGAGAAUAAUUGGUUAAUUAAUUAACACUACAUAUCAUAUUCCUAUGCAGGAGAAUAAUUGGUUAAUUAAUUAAUUAAUUAACACUACAUUAAUAAUUAGUUAAUUAAUUAAUUAACACUGCAUUAGGUUAAUUACUAAAGCUUAUCAUUUGGGAUAUGUGGGUUAUUGUUUUUUUUUUCUCUCCCACACUCGAACAUCAUCAUAGGCAAAAGAUUGUUUGUAUCAAAAUCUAUAAUUUUAAUUCCCUGGAUGAUUGCUACAUGUGGGGCUUUAUGGUCAUCAUUUACGAAUCCCAAUAAUCAAACCAUAUAAAAUGAAAAAAAAAAACCAAAGAUAGUCCAGCUUUUGUUUUAGGUGAGGUCUACACAAUUGAAAAACAAUAAUAAAAGUUGCAACGAAAGAAUAAAAAAUUCAACAUAAGAAAUAGAUUAAAGAAACAAUGAUAAAAGUUGCAAUGAAAGAAUAAAAAAUUCAACACAAGAAAUAGAUUAUGGAAGAAAAUUAAAGAAUAGGAGGGGCCAUUACCGUUUGAAGGGAAAGAGAUUUGAGCAAAAACGUCCAGAUCUUGGUGAAGGGAGAUGAUGAUAGUGGCUAGUCGAAAGUAGUGACAGCAGUGAUGGGAGAGGUUUUGGGAGUGUCGGCAGUGUGGUGGAUCUAGGAAUUUUGUAAGUUAUGUUUGCUAUGUUUUAAUUCACAAUAUUAUGAAUGUAGGGAAAGAGAUGUGAGCAAAAAAGUUCAGAUUUUGGUGGAGGGGAGAUGAUGAUAGUGGCUAGUCGAAAGUGGAGAUGACAGCAAAAGAGUCCAGAUCUUGGUGAAGGGAGAUGAUGAUAGUGGCUAGUUGAAAGUAGUGACAACAGUGAUGGGAGAGGUUUUGGGAGUGUCGACAGUGUUGUAGAUCUAGGGAUUUUGUAAUUUAUGUUUGCUAUGUUUUAAUUCGCAAAAUUAUAAAUGAA